rnacentral:lncRNA from 1 species
ACUUCUGUGUAUGUAAUAUAGACAAUGCAAUUUCCCAUAGAAACUGCCUUUGUGGCUAAAGCUGUGCAACUUUAACGAUGAAGUUUAGUAAAAAAAAAAUAGUCGAACAUAAAGUUGAUAUGCACUACCGUUUUUUAUUCAAAGGUCAAAACAUAAGGCUCUGCGACAUAUUUUCAACAUUUAUAUGCCUCGAACUUUUUAGAGUUUAAACUUAUACUAAAAUUAUGUACUUCCCCUACUUUUAUUUUUGGUCUGCGUCAGAAUUCAUUUUUAACCGGUGCUUUGUGUUUUUAUACUAGAAACAUUGCCAAGUUAUUUCUCUAUAAAGGUUUAUGACCCCUUCUGUGGCCUGUGAAUUAUGAACUUUUCUAACUGCAAUAGUAUCAAAACACAGAUAACGAAAAAUAAGGUUGGGCCAUCUUGUACAUAUACCGAGGGGAAACUUCUUGCAGAGCAUUUUAUUUAAAGUUUCAUUGCAUUUUUUCUAUGAUAAGCUAGCGUUUAUUGUUUUCAAAAAGUCCCAAACAACCUUUAAAUUCCAAAGCACCUCUUGCUGAGUCACUUAAGUCGAGCGCACCUAGAAGGUGUACUUGAAUUGGUCCAUAUUUUUAUUUGUUUUAACCAAUAUCUAAAUUUAUAAACUUGUUUUAAGGAAAUCAUUGCUAGCACGGCAUGCAAUAAUCCUCUAUAUAUCAAGUACCGAAUUGCCAAAUUUGAGAGUACAAGGGAAAAGGCUGUGAAUUUUCUAUAAAAUUUCCAUAUGUUU